rnacentral:rRNA from 1 species
UACAGAGGCCUCGAGCGUUAGGCGGAAUCACUGGGCUUAAAGCGUGUGUAGGUGGGUCCGUAAGUACCUUGUGAAAUCCCAUGGCUCAACCAUGGAACUGCUGGGUAUACUGCGGGUCUGAGCUAUCUAGAGGUUACUGGAACAAACGGUGGAGCGGUGAAAUGCGUAGAUAUCGUUUGGAACGCCAAUGGUGAAAACAGGUAACUGGGGAUAUGCUGACACUGAGACACGAAAGCCAGGGGAGCAAACGGG